rnacentral:rRNA from 1 species
UACAGAGGGGGCAAGCGUUGUUCGGAAUUACUGGGCGUAAACGGCGCGUAGGCGGCCUUCUAAGUCGAACGUGAAAUCCCCGGGCUCAACCCGGGAACUGCGUCCGAUACUGGAAGGCUUGAAUCCGGGAGAGGGAUGCGGAAUUCCAGGUGUAGCGGUGAAAUGCGUAGAUAUCUGGAGGAACACCGGUGGCGAAGGCGGCAUCCUGGACCGGCAUUGACGCUGAGGCGCGAAAGCCAGGGGAGCAAACGGG